GGCCCUAACACACCCAGAGCAUCCACCUUGACCCUGACCCCACCAUGGGCUUCGGGCAGCUCUGCGGUGUGGUCCUCUGUCUCCUGGGCAUAGCCAUCUCUGCAGACCCUGGGAUCACUCAGAUACCAAAAUACCUAGUCAUGGGAAUGAUGGACAAGAAAUCUUUGAAAUGUGAACAACAUCUAGGACAUAAUGCUAUGUACUGGUAUAAACAGAGUACCCAGAAGCCGCCAGAGCUCAUGUUCAUCUACAACUACAAGGAACUCGCUGAAAAUGCGAGUGUUCCAAGUCGCUUCCAGCCUAGAUGCCCAGAGAGCUCCCAGUGCCUCCUGGACCUGAACGUCCUGAAACCACAGGACUCUGCCGUGUAUCUCUGCGCCAGCAGUAGAGACACAGCCCUGCAGAGUCGAUUCUUUCCUGUGCACAAACCUCCAGGCUGCAGGCAGGAAGCCGUGGGGCCAUCCAAGUCUUGGUUUAGCAUUUCCCAUCAGACCACAGCCCUGCCUGUGGGGUCAAGUGGCAUGGCAGUGGAGAGUUUCUUCACAGACAUCAACAGAACCCCUGCAGCCAAGGCUGUGGUCACUCAAGGCUAA